rnacentral:rRNA from 1 species
UACGGAAGGCAGCAGUGGGGAAUAUUGCACAAUGGGCGAAAGCCUGAUGCAGCUAUGCCGCGUGUAUGAAGAAGGCCUUAGGGUUGUAAAGUACUUUCAUCGGGGAGGAAAAAACAAAACUAAUAAUUUUAUUUCUUGACGUUACCCGAAAAAGAAGCACCGGCUAACUCCGUGCCAGCAGCCGCGGUAAUACGGAGGGUGCUAGCGUUAAUCAGAAUUACUGGGCGUAAAGAGCACGUAGGUGGUUUUUUUAAAGUCAGAUGUGAAAUCCCUGGGCUUAACCUAGGAACUGCAUUUUGAAACUGAAAUACUAGAGUAUCGUAGAGGGAGGUAGAAUUCUAGGUGUAGCGGUGAAAUGCGUAGAUAUCUGGAGGAAUACCUGUGGCGAAAGCGGCCUCCUAAACGAAUACUGACACUGAGGGUGCGAAAGCGUGGGGA